ACUCAAGUACAGGAUUUGUGUACUUCGUCCACCACUGCAUAAAUCUAACAUUAAUGUUUACCUUCUCACAGGGGUCCCUCCAAUGCAGAAUAUGGGCAGAAUAAGUGCUAACAAUGAAGUACCUGUCUAGAAGGAUCUAACAGCUAUGUUUUUAGUCAGGAUUAGGCCUAAUCCUGACUCCAACAAGUGCACUGCCAAGGAGCAGAUGAGCAAGACGACUGAGAGAGUGGUGAAGCAGAAGACGUCAUACAUGAACUCCCAUGUAAUCUCCUUCAUCAGGGACCUCACUGAAUUCUAUUUGCUAACUGACUAGAUGCAGGACAACUGGGAUUCUGGGUCUCCAAGGUCAGGGGACCAUAGACCUUUAUAUCAAGUGGCAGGGGAAUGAUAUUUGUAAGAAGUUUCUUUUCAUUUAUGUUUUAAAUGUUCAUGCACAUGUUCAUUAUUGUUCAAUGUUUUAUUUUAUUUCAAUAUUGCCAUUGUGUUAAUCAUUGCUCUUUAAAACGUGCAAAUAAGGUUGGUUAUUGUUUUUGACCGUAUUUUAUCAAUUCACAUUAUUGUUCCAUCAUGUUAACUUUGGAUAGUCUAAUGGCGUGUCGUCCAUUAUCCCUAACUUGUACCUGUUUUGUCAUGUUCCUGUUCACCAAAUGUCUUAAAUAAAUAACUGUUAACAAUU